GGUCCACCCGAUCCCAUCCCGAACUCGGCAGUUAAGCGCUCCAGCGCCGAUGGUACCUCGCGCGAGCGGGGGAGAGUAGGUCAGUGCCGAGA
rnacentral:rRNA from 1 species